rnacentral:rRNA from 1 species
CGACCGGCGCACGGGUGAGUAACGCGUAUGCAACCUACCUAUCAGAGGGGAAUAACCCGGCGAAAGUCGGACUAAUACCGACAUAAAACAGGGGCACCGCAUGGUGAUAUUUGUUAAAGAAAUUCGCUGAUAGAUGGGCAUGCGUUCCAUUAGGUAGUGGUGAGGUAACGGCUCACCAAGCCGACGAUGGAUAGGGGAACUGAGAGGUUGGUCCCCCACACUGGUACUGAGACACGGACCAGACUCCUACGGGAGGCAGCAGUGAGGAAUAUUGGUCAAUGGGCGGGAGCCUGAACCAGCCAAGUCGCGUGAAAGGAAGAAGGAUCUAUGGUUCGUAAACUUCUUUUGCAGGGGAAUAAAGUGCAGGACGUGUCCUGUUUUGUAUGUACCCUGAGAAUAAGGAUCGGCUAACUCCGUGCCAGCCGCAGC